UGAUCAACAAUUUGUGAAUAGAUCAGUCA
rnacentral:piRNA from 1 species